ACGAGUAAAACAUUAAGAUAAAGAACACAAAACUCUAAAGGCCUAAAACCUAGAUCCCAAAAUCCCCAAAAGAAAGAACACAAAACGUCAAAACCCUAUUCGCACUUCUCUUCUCUACGCUGCACAUCCUUGGGCUUUGAAGAAAAUUAUGGGCAGUUUUGCUUCUCAGCGUUGCACUUCUCCUUCUCCACGAUGCUCUUCUCCCUAUUAGACUUUGAGUCCCCUAUACAGGUCAGGUGUUUCUGUGAAUUUGUGAAUUGAAUGCACGCAGGAGUAGAUGAUUGUAACUUGUAAGAAGGAAUAACACUCUACCUUCCUUUAGGAGCUGAAUGGGUACUCGUGAUUACAGUCUAACAGAUCAGUUACUAAGCUAGAAAUUUCAGCAAUCAGGUAAACUCAAAUUGGCCCAUAAGAUUCUGUCUAUGACCACAGAAUAAGUCUAGUAAUACAUUAGAACAAGUCAGCUCAUUAUCGCAGAAAGCGAGGGUAAGAAUUGUUGGCUUCUUUAUAUCAUGCCAUUCCAUUUCUCUGUUUUCUAUAUGUACCUUUAUUAAUCAGAUGAUUUUGGCAAUGCUGAACUAAAUUUCAAACUUGGAGAAUCCUUGUUUUCUGGUCCGAAAGACUGCUAAUGUUUUAUAUUUCCUUUUGAGAAAUUUUUUACAUAUAUGAUACCCCAUAAAGCAUGUAUGCAACCUGGGAAUGAGACCAGAACUGAAUGUGAGUGGCCUGUUAGAAAUCUGCAACUUGAGUGACUUCUUCAAAUCUUCAGGAGUACUUUUCUUAAACUGGAUUUGGUUAAACGGAAUUUGCAUAAUAUUUUUGGUUGAGUGACCAAUUCAUGCGGAGAAAACUUGCAGAAUUUCUCAGUUGUUUUAAAGUAGUAAUUUGUUUUGGUUUUAUAUUCAUUUUGGGCCAACUAGACUAUGUUGUAUUAUAUUAUGCAAGUUUGAUGCUUUAUGUUAUGCGACAAUUGAUCAGUGUGUGUAGAGUAUUUGAUGUCAGUCUGCCUUCAUUAGAUACAAAGUAAUAAAACACACCUUUCUCGCUGCUAUUGGUUUAGGAUUUAGUUGGGUUAAAAUUGAUAGUAUGGAUUUAGGAUGUAGGAACUAGUUGGGUUCUUGUUUUGACGCACUGCUUGUUGUUGCUUGGUGAGUUCUACUCAAGGUUAUUGAACAUUUAUUCAUAGUACAUAAAACCACCUAGCUUUGGUUUUGACAAUUCGAAACAUGUUAGUGAUAACAGUAUCUGUGAUAUCAUGAGUUUGGUUUCCAUUUAUGCAUAUAUCUGAUACAACUUAGCGCCAACUUUUGUUUAAUCCAUGAACUUGUUUGCCUCAGCUCCUAUUGUUCUUAUGAUUAGUUCUGGACUAGUCCUAUCUUUUAGUGUACGUGGCUGAAAAACUCCAUGAACUUGUUUGUUUCAAUUUCUUCCAUGUACUUACUUAAUUAUCUUUACCUUUUUCUCAGGUUAAUUUUCAAAUCUUGAAAUUUUGCAACAACGGAGCUAGUUGAAACACCGACAAAAUGUUCUAUUUCUAUCUCAAAGAGCACAUGGAUCAUUCAUCAUCUACAAAAGCGAUACAUAUGACAAUUCAUAAAUCAUGCGGAAAAACCAUAAAGCCAGGAAAGCAUAUUAUUUACACAUAAUCAUUUAGCAUAGUUUAGAUGCAUACACUUUGUUGCGUGCCUUCCCUAGCUGCGCCCGAACCGAACAAGAAAAAGUCUUUAGGACUCCAAGUGUCGUCCCUCCGUAGAUAGUCCACAGCACGUCCGGAUCCGCCUUAAGCUUGACCAACUAGGAUCGCCCUUAAGGUACUUAGAAUUUUCGGCUAAUGUAGGCAAUUAUAUGACUGAAUUUUUGCUCUCAAAAAUCACUUUGAAUACUUGAAUACUCUAUGCAAAAUAAUGACCCUAGGCCUUUAUUUAUAGAGGUAUGGAAAGGGAAUUGUAAUCCUGUUAGGAUACGAAUUAAUUAAACUAGAAUCCUAAUAGAAUUCUUAUUUAAUUAAUUCAUCCUUUUAGGUUUAGGAAUUUAAUCAUAUGUUGAAACCUGAUAGCUUUAGGAUUCGUAUAGCACACAAACACUCACACGCACGCACAACAGCCCACGAGGGGCGCCAUGCGCGCGCGCGCAGCCCGCGAGCUCGCAGCCCAUUGCCACGAGGCCCACACGCUGCCGCAGCCUUGGCGCGCGCUGGGCCUGCCUUGCGAUGGGCCUGGCGCAGCCUUGGCUGGUGCGUUGUGGCGCGCUGGCUUGCUGGGCGAUGGCCCGGCUUCGUGUUGGGCCUUCGUCUGGCAGGCCUCGUCCGAUGCUAAUUCGUACGAUACGCUUCCGAUUAAUUUCCCGAUUCCGGAAUUCAUUUCCGAUACGAACAAUAUUUAAUAUUUCCGAUACCGGAAUUAAUUUUCGUUUAGAACAAAUAUUUAAUAUUUCCGUUUCCGGAAUUAUUUUCCGAUUCCGAUAAUAUUUCCGAUUCUGACAAUAUUUCCGUUUCCGGCAAUAUUUCCGAUUCCGGCAAUAUUCCAUUUCCGAUAAUAUUUUCCGAUACGUACCAUGUUUCCGUUUCCGGCAACAUCUACAACUUGGAUAAUAUUUAUAUUUCCGAUACGAUCCAUAUUUCCGUUUCCGGCAAUAUCAUCGUUUCCGGAGUAUUCAUUUCUUGCCUGUGACGAUCUCAGCUCCCACUGAAACCAAGAUCCCUCGAUUCCGAAUAUCCAUAGAUGGAGUAUUUAAUGCCAUUAAAUACUUGAUCCGUUUACGUACUAUUUGUGUGACCCUACGGGUUCAGUCAAGAGUAAGCUGUGGAUUAAUAUCAUUAAUUCCACUUGAACUGAAGCGGCCUCUAGCUAGGCAUUCAGCUCACUUGAUCUCACUGAAUUAUUAGCUUGUUAAUUAAUACUGAACCACAUUUAUCUGACUUAACAUAGAAUGCAUACUUGGACCAAGGGCAUUAUUUCCUUCAGUCUCCCACUUGUCCUUAGGGACAAGUGUGGAUUUCCUAAUUCCUUUGUCGCUCGAUGCUUGCUCUUGAACAUAAGGUAAGAGUUGUCAUCCUUAUUAUGUCCAGAGGUGUUCCUCGGUUUCAGAGUUCAACUGAUCAAAUAAACAGAUAAUCAUAGCCUAUGAUUCAUCCGAGCACGGCCAUGCAUUUCACAAUUUCUAGCUCUCCGAGUGGCCUUGUACAACUUUUAAGCAUCUCAUCCCGAUUUAUGGGAG